GGGGCAGAAGUUGACUAUUCCUCUGUUUCUAGUCUAGUCAUUCAAACACUAAUUACAUGACAGUAAAAAUACUUUUUCACCGUUUUAAACACGAGUAACUAAAAAGCAAACCUAAAGAUGAUAAUACCAUGCAAAUAUAUAAAAAUUCACCAACACCAGAAUGAAUUUAUUUAUAUAUCCCAUGAUAAUAUGAUUUGAUACAAGAUUUUAAUUUAGUGACUUAUUUGUAUGCUGAUGAUUUUCAAUAUUAUUGUUUGCUAUUGGGUUUUUUUUAGUUAAACAUAAAUUUCAAAGUUAUUUCUUUUCAGCAGAGUCAAUGUCUUAUCCAGACUUUGCUGUUCAGACCACUGCAUCAGCAGCGAUGCUCUUUAAAAGCUCAGAUUGAAACAUCGGGGAUAAAACAAAAACAGGACCAUAUACAGAGGCAUGGUCAGUAUUUUUUUAAAUCAAACAUCAGUACAGAAGCUGUGUUUGUCUGACUUUCACCUCAGGAACCAUUCGCUCAGCCACAGCUCAACUACGUUUGGGAUUUAACACAAAAUCAAAGUUAUUAAGUCAUGAAGUCAUGCAUGUAAAGACGUGAAUAAAAAAUGAAGAAACCAUUAGGGCUGCGUUAAUAUGGAGUAUUAAUCCAGACCAAUUAGUGUCGCCAAGCAAGCAGGGAACACCAACCAAAACACCUCUCUGUCAAAAGGACCUUCUUCAUUCUGCUUACAUAGCAAUUAAUUAGUCAGUACUUCUUUAAUUAGAAAGUCCUUCUUUAAUUUGACACGUUACCAGGUGACACUCCACUUACUCAAAUUACUGUUUAAUUAUAGCACACCCACAGAAACACAAGGACACAUACAUCUCGUCUGUGCGCCCCUCCCUGCCUGACAGGUCAGCGGUUGUGCGAGGAAACCGAAUGCGCAUUGGGGGCUGUGAUUGACGGGCAGUGUUGGCCCGGUAACAGACAGACAGGCAGGCACAUACGCACAAUCUCGGUGAAGCAGUUUCCUGUUGCAGCUGCCUGACCUCUAAACAGGCCAGACAAGCAGAGCCCCAGGACAGAGCAAGGUAAUGGAAAACAACAAAGACUGAAAUAAGCUACUUUUUGUCCACUCGGCCACCAAAUAACAGGAUUAGACCACAGUUCACAUCAAAGUCAUUGGAUGUUGGUGGAGGAAAAGUGUUUUCCAGGGCAGCACAUUCAGUCACCAGAGGCCCGCUGGAACCGUUGAACUGAAGAGGGUCGUUGUUGGACGCCGGAUCAAAGGGAAGAGCGUUGAGUCCUGGAAGACAGAUGCCACUCGAUUAAAUGAGAGCAACGGAUCAGAAGCCCUAUAUUACAGCAGCUCAACCAGAGGGCUGAAGAACCCUCAUCAGUCGGGAUCUAAUUCAGGCAGUGAUCCACACAUCAACAACACAACUGUUAUGAAGCACUGAAGGCUGCUUUCUGUACUUUUUAUCAAAGCGUUAAAUGGCGUAAAAUGUUCUACCGCUGCGGUUUAGAAGAUAUGUGGAGCUGUAUUCCCUUUCGCUCGGUGUGCCAAAACUCUCGAUCAGAUAUUUCCUUUCUAUAUCAUCGCGUUUUAGCAUUUUUACUAGUUGGUAAAUGAUUGACACUGACUGACAAAUGUGAUGAAUGUGCAUUUAAAUUGAGCCAUUCUUGAAAAAUACUUUAGACUUUUAAGUUUAUCAACUAUUCUUAUCAAAUUAUCGAAUGUGUAAAUGUGUAUUCUGCCAGUUCGGUGUUCCAAAAAAUAAAAGAGGCCAGAGUAGCGUUUUCAAUCCAGAGAGAACGCUUUGAGAAAUACAGGGCCUAAAAUACAUAGUCUGUGGGUGGGGCUUUUCUUGGGUUUAACCUUGAGGGCUUUGUUUUUGUUGUAGACUGAGUUUAAAUGGAUCUUCUGUCUAGGCUCAAACAUUUCUUCAGUCUAUCUCCACUGAAAAUCCAUCUGUCACACUUGUUUCAGUCUUUCAGUCUUGAAAUGCUUGAGGAGUUUCCCAAGGAGAGAUGGAAAGAGAAGCCGUGGAAAGACUAAAACAGCUUUGACCAGCUGGCAGGGAAGCAUUACUCAGCCCCAAAUGUUACACUGUAAUUACACUUCAAGAAGGAGGACUAAAGUUAACUUCUGCUUUACCGAAAAGUUUCACAAACUCCAUGAAAAUAUAAAAUGUCUUCUGAAGUGUAGCUUGAUAGUGAGCAGUGAAUGUACAUGUCUCAAAAGCAGAGCCCCAUGCUGGACAAACUCCGAUAACAUCCUGUGUGAUAUUUAUAAUCUUGUCAGUAUGAGUGUUGUGUAAAGUUUUAACUGAAGUUAUUAUUUUAUUAAACACCAGGUGCCUAUGUUUGAGUUAGAACUCUGAAUAACUAUUUGACAUCUAAAUGAACUGGGAUAAGGACAGUGGUUCUUGGACUUAAGCCCCCCCCCUGAAUGUCUGCAAGUCAAGCUGAAUAUGAAGAAUGUCUUAGCUGGGCAAAAACGCCCCCAUCAUCACUGCUACAUUUGUAACUGAAAACUGAUGAAUCGCAUGUUUAAAUGUGAACAUAUGGCAAGAGGCAGAAGCAAUGUUAACAAGCAUCACUCCCUGAUGGAAGGAGGGAAUAAAUGUUGGGAUGGUAGGUGUAAAUAUGACAAGAAUGGACAGAGAAGAUGUUGUAUUAAGAAAUGCAUUGCUUAAGAAAGCAAUACACAGUUCAAACAAAAACGUCUGUGUACAUCUUAUAUACAUGCCUGAAUGUAUGGUAUAUCAAGAAAGCCCGGCAAAGUAACUGGUGUGGAAUACAUGGAUACGUGAGUGGGUUACCAACAUUCAGUCAACCUAUAAACUAG